AUUGUAAGAUGUGUCUCUCUUUGUUGCAGUUGUGUCACUGGUGUUUGCUGGAGAACAGAAAUCUCCUACUGCCUCUUCUAUAGAGAGAGAAGCUUUCUGUGACCUGGAGUGAGCAGCCAGAAAUUUGUGACCUCUUCAAUCAUCGGAUCCCUAAAAGAUGGAUAUAUAGCAUGACCUCCCAAGUAAUCUACUGAUGUUAUUAGUUCAAGGGCUCUACAAUCCAUUGCAAGUGUUGCAAAUCCUUAAAACAUAAAGAACUGAUUCUUUCCACUUCACCCAUUGGAGUCAACCCAUGACCUGCGGCCGGUCUAGGGGUGUGGCGAAGACUUCACGAAUAAACUCUGGGGAGGUCCGACCUCGCCUCUU